rnacentral:rRNA from 1 species
ACAGGUCUUCGGAUGCUGACGAGUGGCGGACGGGUGAGUAACGCGUAGGAAUCUGUCUUUGAGUGGGGGGCAACCCAGGGAAACUUGGGCUAAUACCGCAUAAGCCCUGAGGGGGAAAGCGGGGGAUCUUCGGACCUCGCGCUGGAAGAGGAGCCUACGUCUGAUUAACUAGUUGGUAGGGUAAAGGCCUACCAAGGCGACGAUCGGUAGCUGGUCUGAGAGGACGACCAGCCACACUGGGACUGAGACACGGCCCAGACUCCUACGGGAGGCAGCAGUGGGGAAUUUUUCGCAAUGGGGGCAACCCUGACGAAGCAAUGCCGCGUGAAUGAAGAAGGCCUUCGGGUUGUAAAGUUCCUUCGUGGAAGACGAAAAGGUGGGUGCUAAUAUCGCCUGCUGUUGACGUGAAUCCAAGAAGAAGCACCGGCUAACUCCGUGCCAGCAGCCGCGGUAAUACGGGGGGUGCAAGCGUUAAUCGGAAUCACUGGGCGUAAAGGGUGCGUAGGCGGUGCAUUAGGUCUGGCUUGAAAUCCCCGGGAUCAAACUGGGAAUUGGCGUUGGGA